CCCCGGUCCUCCCGCCUGCUGCGCCUCCUGAGUCUGACGCUCCAGACGACUCUGACGGCGGAUAGUCUGGUCCUUCUCUCGAACCAUCCGCCGCAGCGUGUGCACCUGAGAGUUGGCGUUGGCGUACACGUCCUGCACAGUGACGGCACUGACCCGGACUUGAUCCAGCUCCUUGUUGGUUUGCAUCAGUUGUUUCUCCAGUUCAACGAUUUUCAGCAUCGCUUCAUUCUCCACGUCCAGAAGACGCUCUGACAUCUGAGGACAGAGAGAGAAACGGGUCCAGGUCAGGACGACACCUGUCCAUCUCACCACCGGUCUGUCUCUCCAGCUGUCUGUCUCACCGUGCCCAGGUUCUCCUCCAGCUCCUCCACUCUUUCCAGAGCAGCAGUUUUGGUCUCGGCGUCCUCCAGCAGCGUCCCCACGUCAAACACGUUGUCCAGAUACGCCUGAAUCUGAACCUGCAGCCUGUCGCUCUCUGUGUGCUUCAGCCUCUGAGGGGAGACAGGAGAGAGAGAGACAGACGAGUCGUGAGUUCUUCAGAGUUCGACGACUCGGCAGCGUGUUGGAGCGAGUCACCAGUGUGGAACUACAACCACAGAGGUCAGAGUGAAGAUCGUCAUCAACUUCGUAUGAAUUUAACUUACAUUAACUCUCUGUUACCUGAUGGAGUGUCGAGCUGCCCGGGGGACAGAGGAGGACGGGGAGGGGAGGCUGCAGUCGCCAUGGAGAUCCUCUAUGGACCGACUCCAGGGAGCAGAACCAAUGAGAGAUGAGAACAUGACCCUACGACCCUCUGACCCAUGACCUCGUGUAAGACAGGAGACGUGAGGCAUCGCUUCCUCUGAGACAUAAUCUCAACCUGUAUCCUGUGCACUUGUGUACUUGUUGUGUAUCAUGUGUACUUGUUGUGUGUACUUGUUGUGUAUCCUGUGUACUUGUUGUGUGUCCUGUGUAUUUGUGUACUUGUUGUGUGUCCUGUGUACUUGUGUACUUGUUGUGUGUCCUGUGUACUUGUCUUCUUCUGUACUCACCAGUGCGAUGGAGAACCUCUCCUCCAGCUCGGCGGCGUCGGGCAUCGGGAGUCGAAUCGGUGCAGCUCUGGACCGGAUCACAGCCAACUGGCUCUCCAUGCUCUCUGCGUUCCCCAUCACACACAC